CCCGGGGCAGGCACGCCUGUGGGGCCGAGAUGACCUGGAGCGGGGAUGGCCAGAGAGCUGUGCUUGGAGCCCAGCUGCGGAAUAACACUUGGAAACAUAAAACCCAAGGUGGAAAGUGAGAAAGAAACAGAGAAAAACAAAUCCCCGACUCACCCACCGCCGCCUGAAUGAAGGAGGAGUCGACAGAGGACACCGCUGUAGGAUUCUCAUACAUCGACUGGCUCCCUUCCUUGGGUUUAUUCCAUGUAUUAGCGGAAUACCAAUAACAUUGGAAGAAGCAAGAAAGAUGGACAUGAAUUUCACUUUCAAGAGGUUGCCCAAGAACAAGCAGUUGGUUGAUGAGAUGGCUCCAUAGAGCCUCCAAAUGAGAUGGGCUGGAAAAGGAGACAAACACCGCGGGCCUGAUGACUUAAACAUCGAUGCGCCCUGAGCAAACAGGAGGGAAAGAGCGGCCGACACCUGCUUGGUAAUCAGCUUUGUCAUUCAUGCAGAUAUUGUGAGGACAAUUCCUUGCCGAAGCCUGGAAAAUCUUAGCUUUGUUCGGUGCAAGGCAACAGACAGGCCCUGUUUCCAGGCACAGCUCUUGUUUCAGCAAUCAAGAGCAGCCACGGGUAACUCUGGACCUACCUACCUGUGGAUCUCCUUGACCUUCGCCAACACUUCUGCCUCCUCCCCUGCCUCUUCUUCCCCCGGUGUUGGGACUCCUGUCAAAUCCUGUAUUUAAAACGAGAAUCCUGGAAAAGUUGGUCAUUGCCAGCACGUAAUGACAGGUUGGCUAAUUGAUAGUGUGCCUUCAAAAACGGGAGUAGGACAAACAAGGCAGCUAAUUUUGAUAAUGAACAGAUUCGAGGCAAACAGGCGACAGCAUCCUUUGCAUAUGGUUCCACACCAGCCGUGUGUUUGUUUGGAUUCUAUGUUAAUUUUAGAAACUGUAAAACACCACAUGCCAAAUUGGUUGAUUGAAAUAAUGCUACUUCCCAGAGGCUGACAAUCUGUUGUUUCUUGCAGGAGGCAAGAGGUUACCCGAUGAGUGUUGACUUAGUUGCAGGCAAGAGUCUCAUGGAGAAUAGAGACAGUUGUCCAGGUAAUUCACUGCCUCAGUGAACUGGAUGCUUGAAGUAUUUUGAUGCUGCUUUAUGUCUGUCUGUGUAUCCCUCGAUCCAUGCAUUUGUGCUUCUAUUUGUUGUGUAAUUGGUUCGAUUCCCUUUGCCAGUAUAGAUCUUGACUCUAUUUUGAUCUGGAACAUUGCCUUUUUUUUUUUUUUUUAAUGUUUAUUUAUUUUUGAGAGAGAGAGACAGAGACAGAGCUCAAACAGCGAAGGGGCAGAGAUCGAGGGAGACACAGAAACCAAAGCAGGCUCCAGGAUCUGAGCUGUCAGCACAGAGCCCGAUGCGGGACUCGAACCCAUGAACCGUGAGAUCAUGACCUGAGCUGAAGUCGGACGCUUAACCAACUGAGCGACCCAGGAACCCCUGGAACAUUGCCUUUUUAGUCAAAGUUAUACAGAGUAUUUUUCCUAAUGGCAUGUCAAGGAAGUUGGUCAUCUUAAAUAAUCUAUAAAUAUUUAUUCCUGAAAGGGAAUUGAUUUUUUGGACUUUUAAAACCCAACAACAUAUAAGUUGCUGUGUUUUAAAAUGAAUGUACGUAAGGGAGAAAGAAAGGAAGAGAGGUGGUUUGGUUUGUGAUUUUAAAUUUAGACAAACUGAAGAAACAUACUCUUUCUUUAAAUAAAUAAAUACUGUCUGCUAAAUUACAUUGUUGAAUUUUAAAUCCUGUGAUAAAGUGGUACUUACCAGGGCUAUAAACAAUAAAGAUAAACAUUUCUGCUCUUGUGGGACUUCUAUUUAAAAGUAGGAAAGAUAAUUUUAACAGAGCAUCCUAUAAUGACGAGCAUGGUAGCCAGCUGAUUAUAAAAUUAUAAAUGUUAAUUUUUGAAUCACGUUUUGCAGACGUGGACGCCGGGCACGGUUAUAUAUGUCAGUUUCUGUCGUCAGUCUCACCCAAAGAAACCAUUCGCUAGUGAAAGACUCAACACUGAGCAUUAUUUAAUGGGAAUAAAACAAGACCAUUCAGGGCAGGUUUUGCUUGAGAGAAGUCCCCUCAGAAUAUCAGGGAGAUACUUCAGAUAAACAUUCAGAAUUACCUCCUGGCUAAGCAAGCAAGCGGGGAAAAAAGAAAAAAGAAAAAAGGAAAGAACAAGAAAAAAGAAAAAAAAAUCUCACCCAAGACCCCCGUGGCAAGUGGAAAGGAUUUGGAAGAGCUCGUAAUUUGGACUUUCAGCUGUUUUUCUGGGUUGUUAGUAUUUGGUUUUAUCCAAGAGCAAUUCUGGAUUUUAAGGCAUCCUUCCUUGUUGCAAAGAUAAAUAAACAGAAAUUCAGACUUUCAGGGAGAAUUGGACUUUUAUUUCCUUCUUCCUCAUUAGAACGUAUUUAGACCCCUAUCCCCACCUCUUUUUCAAGCCUUUCUGUUUCAUGUUAACUCUUUAAGGAAAAGAAAGAGGCACAAAACAAGCAGCAAGAGAACCUUGGGUGGGGGUUCCUGUGAAUGUUUUUAGAAAUAAAACACAACUCUUCCUUUUUGCCUUAACGAGCAUUUAGGAGGCCCUGCGAUCAGGCCAUCGGUAAU